rnacentral:rRNA from 1 species
UUACCUGGCCUUGACAUGUUGGGAAUUCCAGAGAUGGAUUGGUGCCUUCGGGAACCCAAACACAGGUGCUGCAUGGCCGUCGUCAGCUCGUGUCGUGAGAUGUUGGGUUAAGUCCCGUAACGAGCGCAACCCUUAUCCCUAGUUGCCAGCACAUUAUGGUGGGGAACUCUAGGGAGACUGCCGGUGACAACCGAGAAGUGGGGAUGACGUCAGGUCAUCAUGGCCCUUACGGCCAGGGCUACACACGUGCUACAAUGGCGCGCACAGAGGGCUGCAAACCCGCGAGGGGGAGCUAAUCUCACAAAACGCGUCGUAGUCCGGAUCGCAGUCUGCAACUCGACUGCGUGAAGUCGGAAUCGCUAGUAAUCGUGAAUCAGAAUGUCACGGUGAAUACGUUCCCGGGCCUU